rnacentral:piRNA from 1 species
CAGACUGAUGUCUCCUUGGAGAGG